GGCGUGGCUAUGCAGCGUACCGGAAGACGCAGUAAAGAAGACGGGCAGCCCUUCUCAUCUGCCCCAUCAUGACAGCUGCACCCCCAGCACCAACAAGCAACAGUCUGUGGGUCUCUCUCACCUCCCACAAACACCACUAAAGCUGCUGCUCCCCAGCACUGACCAACAACAGUGUGUGGGUCUCUCUCACCCCACACAAACACCAGGGGAUAGGGU